GAAAUUAUCGAAGCGCUAAAACGAAAAAAAACCCACCCCGGCGACAUUCCAUCGCCAUCACCGGCGGGUACGACGGUGGUGGUGCUAGAGUUUGGCGGUUGCCGCCGCUUCGGAAAUCGAAACUACAGGCAAUUACGCAGAAAGAACAAAUUAUUUUCAGGCCGAAGAACAUUAGAAUUAGAAAGAAGAUUCAGCAAUGGAGAAUUUAGAAAUUGGGAAAAACCCUAACCCCCAAAUCGAAGAACACAACAGAGCUCUCUAAUCAACAGACCCCACAGGGUACUUCUGAAUGCAAUCCGCCCAUGGCCCCGCCCUCGCCUCCCCCACAGUGGCAUGAAUGCACUCCCACACCAAGCUACUGCACUUGGGCCCGCUCCCCAUGCCCAGCUGCCACACCCGAUCACCGACCUUCACUCUCUCCUUGGCUUCGAUGUACCCGAGCUCGUACCAGAGGGAGGACGACGAUUGAUUUCCGAAUCUGUGGAGCGUCAUCAACGCCGGCUCCAUGUCCUUCUCCGCGAGCUUCAGUCCUUUUCCGAUUUCGCGAAUCACCGGCUUGCCGGAAGCCGGCAGGCAGAAGUGCUGCACCGCUCGCUUGAAAUUGGGGGUGUAUAUUUCUGUUGAUUUCUCCCAGUACUUCUUCUUCAUGAUGGAGAACGCGUACAUCAUCAUUUCCGUGUACGGGAGGAUCUUCAGUCCGAGGAUUGUGAUGUUUGAUCGGAGAGUUUCUCCGGCCACCUGCACACGAAACGGCGCCGUUUCAGCGUCCAUGAGCACGAAGAUGGAGGCCUCCAUCGAUCUGCAAAGUCAGAAGCAUUCGAUAAUUCACCGGUUUCUGCUCAUCCGCUAACCUAAACGAGAAGGCACACAGCAACACCGCCACGAAAACCUUCAUCUGCCGGGCGCGCAAUGAAAUCCUCCGUGCCUGAAAGGCGGCGAAUUUGAACGGGCUUUCGUUCCGGAAGAUCCCAUUCUCAUCCAGCCAUCUCUCAGGGCGAAACUCCUCUGCAUCCUCACCCCACAGCGAUUUCAUCCUCCCCAUGGAGUACGGAACAGCUGGAUACAGCCGGAGCGUUUCGCUCAGGGCAGCCUGGAGAAGCUGCAUUUUGUCGAGGGCUUCUUCCGUAACCCUCGCGACGAUCUCCUCGAUUCUCGAAGUUUCCCCGAUUUUCGCAGCGCCCCGGAUUUCUUUGAAGAUCUUUUCCUGCGUAUUCGGGUGCUUGCACAUCAUGUAGAAGAACCAGGAAAGUGUGCUGCCUGUUGUAUCCUUCCCUGCUAUGAUAAAACUUAGUAUUAUAUCUUUUAGGUACUUCGGAUCGGCCUCGUUUUUUUCCAGGAACCUCGAGAGAAUGUCCAAUUUAGUCGCGGAUUGAUCGCAGCCAUUCAUCUGCUCGAUCUUCCUGCUGAUGACCUGGUCCUGCAGUUUGCGAUGGAUUAGAUCGAUCGAUUGCGACAUUGCGAAUGGAUUGAUGAUUGGUGAUUGUUGAUUUGCUUACUUGAAUUUCGAUUAUUUGAUUUGCGGCGGCGGCAGCGGAGAUUAUUCCGGCGAGCUUGGCGGCGUUGCUCUUGAAGACGCCGGUGCUGAAUUCCUUGAGGUUCCUUGUAGAGAAUUCGUAGCUGGAUAGCUUUCGUUGCUGCCUCCACUUUUCGCCGUCUACGGUGAAGAUUCCGUCGCCGAGAAGACCUUCCAGGACGUCAUGGUGCACAUCUGAUAUUUUGGAAACACGACUUUAGAAAGGCAGGUGAUAAGUACCUUGCCGAAGUUGGCGAAGUUGGUUUUGAGGAAGUACUCGACGUUGGCGGGAUCGGAGGUGUAGAUCUCUGUGUUGUCGAGGUACAGAAUCCGGAACGUGCUGUUUAUGCGGGUGAGUUCGGUGAGGUAAUCGUACAGCCGACGGUAAUUCAGGAGCAGAUGGAAGAUCGUGCCGGCGAUCGGAUGGAAGUGAGAGCAGCGAGUGAUGGUGGAGUCAAACUGAAAUGGUGUGAUGAUGAUGAUGAUGAGUGGGUAGAUAGAGAUGGCAAGCUGGCGAAGAUUGUGAGCGUAUGGAAAAUGACGAUCAAGAACGACUGAUGGUGAUGUGGUGAUAGUGGAAGUUGUGUAGUCCAACUCUGUGUUUGCUUUUGGGGUUUUUUAUUUUUGAUUUGAGUACUCAAAUUUUGAAUUCCAGUUUUUGGAGGUUUUUUUUUUUUUUUUAAUUUGGAAUUUUGAAAAAAAAAAUUAAAAAAUUAGUAUUUAA